CCAAAAAGCUUGCAGAUAAUUUGACGCAGCUUUUAUUUCCGUCUAAUGUUAUUGUUUGAACCUGUGCAUGGUGUUAAUACAUGCUUAUUGCUAAGACUAGCUAGCUAGCUACUCAAAAAAGUGCUCACAUCUUCCCAGCAUCUCAGUCCAGCCUCGUUGGAAAUCAUCAUUGAGGGAGAAGUCGUGAUGGACAACAUUCAAGAUCUGCCAAAAGCAAUGUGCAUUCUGUUUGGACUCAUGUAUGCACUCCAUCUUAACUACCCCAAGACUAUGAAGCUCACAUUUCAGUUCAUCCAACAGGUGGACAAACAGACGCAUAAAACGCAGACACACACACACAGACACAUACAACACCCACAAACAAAACUGACACACCUAUUCACAUAUUUUGUGGGAAGCGUGCUAAAGGAUGUGACUUGUGUGACAAUUUAAACUGAGCGGAGUUGUAGCGGAAAGACAUAGGACAUUGUAUAGAUACAUACAUACAUACAUACAUACAUACAUACAUACAUACAUAUUUCAGUUCUUCAUCAGUCUAUGUAGAUGGAAUUAGAUAUUGUUCUGAUAUGAUAGUCUGUUGGUUCAGGCUCUGGCCUCCCUUCAUUGAGGCAGAUGAAACAGAUCCUUUUUGUGAUUAGCUGUGUUUGGCCAUUUUUCUUAAAAGUAAAAUGCAUUGGAGCAUUUA